rnacentral:rRNA from 1 species
CCUACGGGUGGCAGCAGUGAGGAAUAUUGGUCAAUGGACGAGAGUCUGAACCAGCCAAGUAGCGUGAAGGAUGACUGCCCUAUGGGUUGUAAACUUCUUUUAUAGAGGAAUAAAACGAGGCACGUGUGCCUUUUUGCGUGUACUUUAUGAAUACGGAUCGGCUAACUCCGUGCCAGCAGCCGCGGUAAUACGGAGGAUCCGAGCGUUAUCCGGAUUUAUUGGGUUUAAAGGGAGCGUAGAUGGGUUGUUAAGUCAGUUGUGAAAGUUUGCGGCUUAACCGUAAAAUUGCAAUUGAUACUGGCAGCCUUGAGUACAGUUGAGGUAGGCGGAAUUCGUGGUGUAGCGGUGAAAUGCUUAGAUAUCACGAAGAACUCCGAUGGCGAAGGCAGCCUACUAAACUGCAACUGACAUUGAUGCUCGAAAGUGUGGGUAUCAAACAGGAUUAGAUACCCGGGUAGUC